rnacentral:piRNA from 1 species
UUAGCUUAUCAAAAAAUCUUC